rnacentral:lncRNA from 1 species
GAAGGAAAGACCUUGUUGACGGAGCUAGGCCACCAGGCAGUGACGAGCUUGUUCUCGUUGGAGAACAAGAACUUGUUGCAGGCGGCGCCGGCAAAGAUGCAAGCCUUCUCUCCGAAGAGGGAGGUCUUGAAGACUUCGGAAGAGAACUUGUUCAUGCGGUCGAAAAUGAACUUCUCGGGGUGGCCUUUCCAUCCUGUGGACAGGAACUCGUAGCUCUCUCCGAUGACAGGGUAGCCGACCUUCCCGGGAGGGAGGUUGUUGCCGGUGAACUGAGAUCUGUGCCUGUAGAAGAGGAAGAAGAGGGAGAAGGUGAUGAAGGAAACAAAGCCCAAGAGGAGGGUAAGAUAGAAGUUAAGCUCCAUGAUUGAGCUUUCUUGA